AAACCAACAGGGAUUGCCCUAGUAACGGCGAGUGAAGCGGCAACAGCUCAAAUUUGAAAUCUGGCUCUUUCAGGGUCCGAGUUGUAAUUUGCAGAGGGCGCUUUGGCGUUGGCAGCGGUCCAAGUUCUUUGGAACAGGACGUCACAGAGGGUGAGAAUCCCGUACGUGGUCGCUAUCCUUCGCCGUGUAAAGCCCCUUCGACGAGUCGAGUUGUUUGGGAAUGCAGCUCUAAAUGGGAGGUAAAUUUCUUCUAAAGCUAAAUAUUGGCCAGAGACCGAUAGCGCACAAGUAGAGUGAUCGAAAGAUGAAAAGCACUUUGGAAAGAGAGUCAAAUAGCACGUGAAAUUGUUGAAAGGGAAGCGCUUGCAGCCAGACUUACCUGUAGUUGCUUAUCCGGACUUUUGUCCGGUGCACUCUUCUGUAGGUAGGCCAGCAUCAGUUUGGGCGGUUAGAUAAAGGUCUCUGUCACGUACCUCUCUUCGGGGAGGCCUUAUAGGGGAGACGACAUGUAACCAGCUCAGACUGAGGUCCGCGCAUUUUGCUAGGAUGCUGGCGUAAUGGCUGUAAGCGGCCCGUCUUGAAACACGGACCAAGGAGUCUAACAUCUAUGCGAGUGUUUGGGUGUCAAGCCCAAGCGCGUAAUGAAAGUGAACGGAGGUAGGAACCCUUUGGGUGCACUAUCGACCGAUCCUGAUGUCUUCGGACGGAUUUGAGUAAGAGCAUGGCUGUUGGGACCCGAAAGAUGGUGAACUAUGCUUGAAUAGGGUGAAGCCAGAGGAAACUCUGGUGGAGGCUCGCAGCGGUUCUGACGUGCAAAUCGAUCGUCAAAUUUGGGCAUA
rnacentral:rRNA from 1 species